ensembl:lncRNA
GAUGGUUUGGGGUGAAGGUUGACUUCGGUUGCAUGAGGCUCACUGUGGCAGCUGUGUGGAGAACAGAUGGAAAGGCUUGACAGGAAGCAACGUGACCGGUGGAGGCUACAGCAAUGAUCCAGAUAAGAGCCUAUUGGCCUUGGGCCAACAAGACCCAGCUGGACCCUCCACCCCAUUCCAUGCCCAGAGAGGGGAGCAGGGCUCUUGAGUGACGCGCUGGAGGUUCAGAUCCUGGCUCACAAUGUGAUGUGCCGGAGGACAUCUGAAUUGCUACCUCACAAGAGAAGUAAAUGAGAAGCAUUGUUUCAUGGGCUGUGAAAGGGACACACAGUUUGUACUCCUAUCAGCAGAGCUACUAAAAAAUGGAAAUUUAUGAUUUUUGCCCUUCAGAAAAUCCUCAUUAAGCUCCUUGAAGAAAUGGAAACCUCAUGAGCAGUAAUCAAAGCGUAUGAAGCCUCCUGAGUGGUUAACAGAGGCCACUUCAUCAGACAACUCCCCCGGGGAUAGAGCUGCCCCAAGGCCAUGCUUCUGACAGGAUGGAUUAUGAAUUGAAAUUCAGCUGCAGAAGUGACUGAGCUAGAAAGCCUGAACAGUAGACUGUAUCCAUGAGAAUCUUUCCUGAGAACGUGUUGGCCUUUCAUCCUUGUCAAAUCCCCAGGAACCAUAAGCAAACAAGAGGCAGAUUGAUGUGCUCAUUCAGGGCAAAUCGGUGGAUAGAAGCCUCCAGAUAGACAGGCAGUGGAAGGCCCCACUCCUGGAGGCCUGAGUGGCCAUACGUUCAGCUCCUCAACACAAGUCAGCAUGAUUUAGAACCACAGUCUGUGUGUGUGUCAGCUUGUACUAAGCAUGCCCUCUCUGCUUCCACUCAGAGAACUUCUCAUGCGUGAGCCUAGCUGUUGUUAGCCUGAGGCAGGAACAUCCAGUAGAAAACGUAUUUAAAGCGCUUGACUUUCAGGGCAUCCUCUGGGACCAAGUAUUAGUUUCCUAAGGCUGCUCUAACAACGUACCACAAACCGGGUGGCUUCAAACAACAAAAACUUGUCUCACAGUUCUGGAGGCUAGAAGCCUAAAAUCAAGGUGCUGGCAGGGCCACGCUCCCUCUGAAAUCUCUAAGGGAGAAUCCUUCCUUGCCUCUUCUAGCUUCUGAUACUUGCUGGCAAUCCUUGGCCUUCCUCGGCUUGGAGACGCAUCACUCCAACCCUUUCUCUGUGGUCACAUGAAUUUCUUCUUUCUGUGUGUCUUUGUCUUCACAUGGUGUUUGCUUUUCUUAUUAGGCCUCUAGUCAUAUUGGAUUAGGGCCAACCUUAAUGACCUCUGCUUAGACCCAAAUUUCCAAAUACAGCCUCAUUCACAGGUGCCAGUGAUUAGGACCUCACCAUAUCUUGUAGGAGGCACUCUGCAACCCACAACAGACCACUCUAGUGGAGGAAGGCUGAAGCAAUUCAUCUAGAUGAAUAGGAUGCAAACCAUGAAAGAACUGGUUGCAGAAGAUAAAGGACAGGAUUAUUAGAAGAAUAUGACCAACAGUAGCGGAUUGGUCAAAUUAAGAUGUAAGUGAAAUAAGACAAAGUACAUACUGGAUUUAACAGCAGGACUAGAGUGGUGAGUGUUGGGAACACAUUGCGAUGCAUAAGAGUGAGCAGCAAACGUGGACAUGAAGACCACCAGUGUAGGCAAAUCUCUUAAGACAUUUAGCUGUGCAGACAUAAGAGAAAGAAAGCUGUUGGAGAGAACACUGAUUCUAAGAAGGGCCUUGAUGUCAAGACUUUGGAAGCACCUAACAUUUACUGGUGCUUCUUCAUACUGAAUGGCCACUGAUUCAUACAGACACCAUGGAUGAGAACACUGAACACGAACACUCUAAAUUAUGGCAAAGAUUGUACUGAGAGCUUGUUGCUCCCUGCUUACAGUGGGAUGGGCCAGGUGUGUGAAGCACUGGUUUGACCCGGGAGGGGCUGGGUAGACAUGCUGCUGUGCAGAGGGUGCUUUCCUCUGUAAAUUGCUGUGAAGACUGACACCUGGCGGCUAGCUUUGGCUAAGUCCAUGAUGCCUGCUUACAUUAAGGGCCCAAUAAACUCCCCUGUGAUUUGCAAGUCACCUGUCUCUAUCUUUCCUUUCCCACCUGUGUCAGUCAGGGUUCUCGAGAGAAACAGAACCAAUAGGAUAGAUAUGUACAUAAAAGAGAUUUCUUUUAAGGAAUUGGCUUACAGGAUUGUGGGGGCUGGCAAGUCCAAAAUGUGUAGGGCAGGCCGGUAGGCUGGCAACUCAGGCAAGGAGCUGAUGCUGCAAGCUUGAGGCACAAUUUCUUCUCCGAGAAACCUGUUUCUGCUCUUAAAGCCUUCAACUGGUGAGGCCCCGCCCACACGACGGAGAGUAAUCUCCUUUCCUUAAAGUCCCCUGAUUAUGGAUGUAACACAUCUACAGACACCUUCACAGCGACAUCUAGAUUAGUGUUUGAUUAGAUAACGGGACUACAGCCUAGUCAAGUUGACACAUGACAAUAGCCAUCACAUCCUCCUUCCCCUAAGGACCUCUGAGAGGCCACAGCUUCUGAAAAGUUACCAGUUUUGGCCAUAGCAAUCAGAUAAGCGUCUACUUCAUGAGCAUAGGCUUGGAUUUAAGCAUAUAAAGAAUACUAUUUUCAUAGCAAAAUCUAGGUGGUAAAUGGAGUUUGUAGCCACAAAUCAAACUACUUAAGGCAAUUGGCUUACAGAAUUGCAGAUGCUUGCAUUCUUUCCAAAAGCAAAAUUUCAACCAUAGUGUGUUUUGCUCAUUCAUAGUAUAAAGACAACAGGCCCCGCCUGUGACAAUUAGC